CGCAUGCGCUAUGCUAAGAAGGCUGGUCCCUCGGGCAAGAUGGCUGCCAAAAGUUUUGCUUCCCGCGUCCGAGGUUCUCGGCGCUUUUUGAAUGGCUUCGUGGCCGGAGCUGUCGUGGGGGCUGUAGGAGCCGGGCUGACGGUCACGCAGUUCCUCUGGAGUCCGGGCGCUGAGGCAGCGUUGGCGGUGAGGGAGCCGGACGGUUCUCCAGAAAAGGCUGUCUUGGAACAAUUUGGAUUCCCUUUAACUGGAACAGAGACUAGGCAUUACACUAAUCAUGCCUUAUCUUAUGAUCAGGCAAAGCGGGUGCCUAGAUGGGUUCUUGAACAUAUAUCCAAGAGCAAGAUAAUGGGUGAUGCAGACAGAAAACAUUGUAAAUUCAAGCCUGAUCCCAACAUCCCUCCAACCUUCAGUGCCUUCAACGAGGACUAUGUUGGAAGUGGGUGGUCACGAGGACACAUGGCCCCAGCAGGAAAUAACAAAUUCUCAUCUAAAGCCAUGGCUGAAACCUUUUACCUUUCUAAUAUUGUGCCUCAGAAUUUUGAUAAUAAUGCUGGAUAUUGGAACAGAAUAGAAAUGUACUGUCGAGAACUGACAGAGAGGUUUGAGGACGUCUGGAUAGUAUCUGGACCAUUGACCUUACCUCAGACUGGAAGGGACGGAAAGAAAACAGUUAGUUACCAGGUGAUCGGUGAGGACAACGUGGCAGUCCCCUCCCACCUUUAUAAGGUGAUCCUGGCGCGCAGAAGCCGGGAGUCUACUGAACCCCUGGCACUAGGGGCCUUUGUGGUGCCCAAUGAAGCCAUUGGCUUCCAGCCCCAACUAAGUGAAUUCCAGGUGAGCCUUCAGGACCUGGAGAAGUGGUCAGGGCUGGUGUUCUUCCCACAUUUGGAUAGAACUAGUGACAUCAGGAACAUCUGCUCCGUGGACACCUGUAAGCUCCUGGAUUUCCGGGAGUUCACUCUGUACCUGAGCACAAGAAAGAUUGAGGGAGCCCGAUCGGUGCUCAGGCUGGAAAAGGUCAUGGAGAAUUUGAGGAAUUCGGGGAUUGACCCCGAUGAUUACUUCAUGAGUCGCUACGAGAAGAAACUGGAAGAACUCAAAGCUCAGGAGCAGUCAGGAGUCCUGGAGAGAAAGCCGUCUUAGUCACAUCUCAGAAGCGUGACAUCUGUCAGGCCGUGGUCGUGGCCGCUUCAGACUGCUGUACCUUAGUGGCUUUGCUUUACAAUGAUGGAAUUCUAAAUUUAAGACUAAAUUUUUGCCCCCAAAGGUAAACGAGGUGAAAGUUUUUGCUUAGUAUUUUACUUGACAUGAGAACUGAUUAUAUAAGGAAACUGACACCUGCAGGUGGCAGCCUGGUCUUGUGUCUGGUUAAGAAGAUGACACCGUGCAUGUGUUGCUCUGGAUGUGUAGUGUGUGAAGAAAUGCCAAGACUUUAAGAUAAAGGUAAGAUGAUGAUGACUGACUUCGCUCUGCUUUAUUUGGGUAAACAAGAAAGAAGUUGGGGGUCAGAACACUGUAGCCUGAUUAAUACGAUUCUGUUUUAUCAAACUGUUCUGCAUUCGCUUUUUCUUCUCAGGGAGAAAGAGCCCAAAUGUCACUGUGACCAAAAAAUCUCUUACUUUCUCUCCUUGUUGGAGAGGUGAUGGUGGGGUCUGGGUGUUUUUCCGGGAGCCUGAGGGGUGGCUCUUGGGGAGAAGUCCUGGGUGACCACCCCCCUCUAGAGGGGUGCCCCCAUCCGCUGUCCCCCAGCCUGUCACUCCGCGCUCUCUCUCCUGACCUCAAUUCCCAGCUGCCUUGGGGCUGUUCCUUGCUGUUCUCAGUCCUGCCUCUCCACCUGGGUGGUAGAGAAUCUUGAUUUUUAGAUCAAUAAAUUAAAGUGUCUUACAUGUUUUUAGUUCCCAUGAAAAAUGCUACUUGGUCAUUGUGAAAAAUAGAGAUAACUACUUACAAUUAAAAAAUGCAGCUCGCAGUCCUCGUUUUCGUUGGUGUGCAGCUGCGAUGCUUGAACCGUCACCUCAGUGCUUCCAGCGAGUCCUUCCAGAACAAACUUUAAGAUGUAAAUACUGGGUGCAGCUCAGAAUUUUCCUCUGGAUCGGAUCACUGCAGCCUCUCCUCCAGGGAUGUUGAAUGUUUCGACUCAGACGCACAGGUCCCUGGGCCUCUCCCCUGCAUCAGGUGUGUCCGUCUGAUCAAAGAAGCACCUUGUGACCGAACCUGAGCAAAUCACCAUCCAUUCGGUCCCUCUCUGGGUCCUGCCACAUCAUCGCGCUGCACCAGGGCCUCUGCCUUCACUGUCUUUACACUCACGGGAUCCCUGGUCUGACUGGGCUGAGGGAAGGCUGCUGAGGAAGGGGGGCCAGCCCGCUUCUGCUGGGAGCCCCCUCUGGGGUGAGGGGCUCACUCCCUGAUCUCUCUCCACCCGCAGUGACAUCUUUAUUUCAUCUUUAUUUUGCGACUUUAGGCUUUUGGUUUCUGGAUUGAGACUGUUUCACCGAUAUUGUAUUCGGCAAGGUGGACGUACACAGGCAACAAACGUAGGAUGGGUGAGCGAGCCCCUUAAAUACCUGCUAGUGUUUCUGCCCUCGUGCCUCGAUCUUCAAACAACCGAAAACCCCCAUCCCUCCUCCCUCCUUCAGGACUUGGAAUAGAGCCCAGCAGGAGAGACAGAGUCUGAUCUCGAGGGAGUGGCCCCCAGCAGAGCUGGGCUCGGCCUGCAGCCCUCCUCUUGGAAUGACCCCCAGUAUUGGCAUGUCACCUGUAUUCCCUGGCUUCACCCUCGUGAGUCCAUAAAAGUCAUUAGCGUCAACAUGACGAAUCUCAGGAUUUUGAUUGAGUAGUUCUGAUGUGAAGCUGGAAUCUAUAUUUUCUAAACAAGCAACACUGGCAAUUCUGGUGAUCAGCCAGGAUUUGGAACCAGACUGUGCCCUACUCUGCCUCCACCCUCCCCCAACGAUCAUGUCUCCUUCCCCGAGACAGGAGCCCUCUGACAGUUAGGUGGUCUUGGAGCUUGAGCUUGUGAGUAUCAAGGGAGAACUUUCUUCCAUCCCUUUGGGCCCCCAGGUGGCCAGUUUUUUUUGUAGCAGAGCUUUGUAACAGUAACUGAAACCUUCCCUGUACCUCCUGCCUCUCAGUGACCCGUGCUGAUGGCCAUUCUGGGCUGCACAGAAUGGGCUGGCACCUGCUUCCACCUGAGAAUCUCUUAGAGAAAAGCCCCUGAGGACGUUGGGGCUUCUCAUUGCCUGCUCAGACUUUCAUGGGUUUCAGACCCUUCACCAUGACUUUACAGGCCCUCUUAGUGUAGUGGCCACGUCUGGGCAAAGCCUUCAGGAUGAGGUGUUAGCAGUGCCGAACGGAGUCGGGGGAUUGACACCCCACUUUACUCACUGUACCUUUGGUUCACGUGCAGCUCGCUCCAACUAGUGGCUUCAGGUCUUUUCCACAUGAUCUUCUGUCAAAUCACUUUCCCAUCAUGUGCUUACACAGUCAAUUUCUGGAACACAAAUGUGACACUACAUGUAUGCCCAACUGUUAAGAUUCCAUUUUAUUAACAGUUUCUACCCAUCUUCAAGAGAGUUCACAUUCUUUUUGAUCCUGACUUGGCCAUCUGACAUGUUCACUAUGCCUCCCAGCUUUGAGAUUGCAGAUUGGAUAAACAAGCCUUCAACGUGUCCGUUAAAAACAUUGAAGGAGACAGAGCCAAGGAAGGUCCCUUUGAUUCAGGCUGAGACCUUAGCUCUUAUCCGAGGUCAGUGGAGUCCAGGACAGUAUGAUGUUGGUGUCCUCUCGCCACAUGAGGCUGAAGCUUGAACAGACUGGCGCUCCUGGGGGAUGAGUGUGCCCCUCACUCUUCACUGUGGCCCUGGGACCCUGCCUCUGGCCUCCCAGGCUGAGGCUCAGACCCGCCUGUGCUCUGGUCGAGGAACCGGCCACGGCCCUUCUACCUCAGGACCUUCCCAUCUGCUCUUCCGUCUGCCUGGAAACGCCCACCUCAGUCAACAAAAACGCCACAUCUUCAGCAGGUCUUCUCUGGUCCCGUCCCCUGGAUACUCUUACUGCACUUUGUGCUCCACCCCAACAACCCACAGUUUUGUGAUUCUAAAGAGCCCUGGUUUGUGGAUUUUGAGGACAACAAAGCGUGGAAGAUGGGAUUGCUGGUGAGAAAGGGACUGGGCCUCAGAGGACAGGAAGGAUGCAAAUGCAAGAAGGGGAC